GAAAUGCGAUACGUAAUGUGAAUUGCAGAAUUCAGUGAAUCAUCAAACUCUUGAACGCAUAUUGCACUCGAGAGGUCAUUCUCUCGAGUACGCCUGUUUGAGGAUCAGUAACAAUACUCGACCAGAUAGCAACUGGUCGGAGAAUGGUUGUCUGCUUGCAUCAUUGAGGCAGUCGGCUGAAAGAGUUGCAUGCAAUGCAGAGAGGGCCUUUUGUGGCAGCCGUCCCUCGCUUGUGUGGUGUGUUAGGCCUGUAGGUCAGCAGUCUGCAUCACUGGAGGCAAUGCUGUCAACAAUAGACUCUCUGUGUGCAGCAAAGCAAAGGAAUAAGGGCGAUCCCCUUUUUUGAGCAACCAACCAUUGAUCUCAAAUCAGGCGAGGGUACCCGCUGAAUUUAA
rnacentral:misc_RNA from 1 species